GACGAACGCGGCGGGCGUGCCUAAUACAUGCAAGUCGAACGCACGAAGUUGAAGAGCUUGCUCUUUAACCAAUUGAGUGGCGGACGGGUGAGUAACACGUGGGUAACCUGCCCAUUAGAGGGGGAUAACAUUCGGAAACGGAUGCUAAUACCGCAUAGUUUCAGGGAUCGCAUGAUUCUUGAAGGAAAGGUGGCUCCGGCUACCACUAAUGGAUGGACCCGCGGCGUAUUAGCUAGUUGGUGAGGUAAUGGCUCACCAAGGCAAUGAUACGUAGCCGACCUGAGAGGGUGAUCGGCCACACUGGGACUGAGACACGGCCCAGACUCCUACGGGAGGCAGCAGUAGGGAAUCUUCCGCAAUGGACGAAAGUCUGACGGAACAACGCCGCGUGAGUGAAGAAGGUUUUCGGAUCGUAAAACUCUGUUGUUAAAGAAGAACAAGGAUGAGAGUAACUGCUCAUCCCCUGACGGUAUUUAACCAGAAAGCCACGGCUAACUACGUGCCAGCAGCCGCGGUAAUACGUAGGUGGCAAGCGUUGUCCGGAUUUAUUGGGCGUAAAGCGAGCGCAGGCGGUUCUUUAAGUCUGAUGUGAAAGCCCCCGGCUCAACCGGGGAGGGUCAUUGGAAACUGGAGAACUUGAGUGCAGAAGAGGAGAGUGGAAUUCCACGUGUAGCGGUGAAAUGCGUAGAUAUGUGGAGGAAUACCAGUGGCGAAGGCGACUCUCUGGUCUGUAACUGACGCUGAGGCUCGAAAGCGUGGGGAGCAAACAGG
rnacentral:rRNA from 1 species